GACGAACGCUGGCGGCGUGCCUAAUACAUGCAAGUAGGACGCAGUUGCGAACGGGUGAGUAACGCGUCGGUCACUACCUCUUAGAGGGGGAUAACUAUUGGAAACGAUAGCUAAUACCGCAUACUAGUAGAUUGACCUGCGUUGUAUUUGCUAGUAGGUAUGGUAAUGGCCUACCUAGGCAACGAUACAUAGCCGACCGGGGAGGGUGAGCGGCUACACCGGGACUGGGACAGAGCCCAGACCCCAACGGGAAGCAGCAGUAGGGAAGCUUAGGCAAUGGGGGGAAGCCUGACCGAGCAACGGCGCGUGAGUGAAGAAGGUUUGCGGAUCGUAAAGCUCUGUUGUUAAGGAAGCGGUACUUAACCAGAAAGGGACGGCUAACUACGUGCCAGCAGCCGCGGUAAUUC
rnacentral:rRNA from 1 species